AUAUUUAUCUCUGCCUUUGAUCAUCUCCAUCUCGUUGACAGCUAAACAGGAAUAACAGCAGGGUCGGCGAAAAGGCCUUGUAUAAAUAAGACAUUCUUGCUUUUAAAUCAAAUGGUGGAGUACAAUUCCGRAGAGGAGGUAGAUUUAGCAUUUAGCUAUAUAUAUCAGACGUCAUAGCAUUUAGCCCAGUUAGCUGCAUGUACUGCAUAGAUGCCGUUUCGAAAACGUCACAAGCGAGUACUUGAGGGGGUUCGUUUAUUUGGCACGGAUUACCCCAGUGGGAGGAGUUUGAUUCGGGAGAAAAGUGAUUGUGUUGGUUUAGGAACCGGACUGCCUCACGGGUGUGAGCCAGGUGCCCAGCUCUGACCGACCGCGAAGUCUGCUCAAAACAAAAGUGACGUAAUUAAGCACGUGGAGUGAUUAAUAGGAUUCCGAUUUUUCACAUGCACAAGUGAUUGCUUUGGAUAAAAACUCUUUAUCUGCCUUCCCAAUGUAACCUAUUUAGAAAAUUCAAUGGAAAAGAGAUGCUGUAUUUUUCUGGAUGAUGCACCAUGCUGCCUUGUUGACAACAUGACAGCGGGGCCGAUUACUGUUUGAUUUGAGAUUUCGUCCGAUGACGUGUGUGCAUUUGCCCGGUUCAACGCGGACCAGUGUAAUAUAGACCCUCCAUUAGUAUUUGAGUAGUAAAUGAAACUGACAAGAUAAUAUAGACCUUCUUGUAAACAUUUGUCAGGUGUCUUACAACGCAGAUGAGGCCAGUGUCUCUGUUAAAGAGUGUAUCGAAGGUAUCAUUGGAGGAAUAGACUACAACCAGAACAAAGU